AUUGAACGCUGGCGGCAGGCCUAACACAUGCAAGUCGAACGAGUGGCGGACGGGUGAGUAAUGUCUGGGAAACUGCCUGAUGGAGGGGGAUAACUACUGGAAACGGUAGCUAAUACCGCAUACCAUCGGAUGUGCCCAGAUGGGAUUAGCUAGUAGGUGGGGUAAAGGCUCACCUAGGCGACGAUCCCUAGCUGGUCUGAGAGGAUGACCAGCCACACUGGAACUGAGACACGGUCCAGACUCCUACGGGAGGCAGCAGUGGUGAAUAUUGCACAAUGGGGUGUAGCCUGAUGUAGCCAUGCCGCGUUUAUGAAGAAGGCCUUCGGGUUGUAAAGUACUGUCAGCGGGGAGGCGUUACCCGCAGAAGAAGCAACGGCUAACUCCGUGCCAGCAGCCGCGGUAAUUC
rnacentral:rRNA from 1 species